AAAUGUGAUGAUUUUUGUUUAUUUAUCGACCGGGCGGACAUAUUUAAGUAUCUUCUAAUCACUAUUCCAAUGGGAUAGUAGCCGUGCUCUUUUGUGUACAAAAUUUAUUAAGGGGCAUUGGUUAGUUGAGAAGUGAUGAGUGGUCGCAAGAUAGCUGAUU